UCAAAAUAUAUAUUAUAUAACACGUUACGCUGUUAUACUAAAUUAUGUGACACUGUGUAAAGCCCCGUAUUACUUUACGUUGUAUGCAUUUACGAUCGAACACGUUGCAGAUAUGUUCCUGUUGGAAUUCUAGAGAAACCACCGCAGAGGAUCAACGAGCGGCCGCCGUUCUACAGAGGUCGCAAUGAUAUGGAGACGUUGAUGGCCAGUUCCAAUUGUGCCGACUGGGUGAAGUUAUCAGAAAUGUUGCUUGGAAAAGUGCCUGAUGGAUUCCACUUUUUGCCGAAGCACAAGGCGAACUCGUGGAAGUAAUUCUGUUGCGAAGAAGCGAAGUCGUGGUGACGAGCGGGCUUUUCAGCGAGUGAAAUACGUUACCACAUAUAUAUAUAUAUUUGCGAAUUUCCGCAAUAAAUAAUUUCUAUAAGAGAGAAAACUGGUGGGAUCGUUAGCUGAUACGUUUCCGAAGUUUUUCGAUACCUUUGUAAUGAAUUGUCGAACUCGUUGAUUCACACGGAUUCGCCGUCGAUAGAUCGGUAAACAGUUC